rnacentral:rRNA from 1 species
UUGCCAGCCGCCGCGGUUGCAAAAAGCUGUACGCCAGCACUAGGAAGGCGGAGUUCUGCCAGCCGCCGCGGUUAUACGAGAGGCCCAAGUUGUUAACCCUCGGCGUAAAGAGUGGUUAGAGUACCCCUACAGACUAAGGCCGAACACCUUCAGGGCAGUUAUACGCUUUCGAAGGCAUGAAGCACAUCCACGAAAGUAGCCUUACCCCACUUGAAUCCACGAAAGCUAAGAUACAAACUGGGAUUAGAUACCCCACUAUGCUUAGCCCUAAACAACGACCCCACCUACAAUCAAACUCCGCCUGGGUACUACGAGCAUUAGCUUAAAACCCAAAGACUUGGCGG